AUAAUGGUAGCUGUAUAAAAUCCUCAAUUUAGUUUAAAAGCAUCUCAGAACUUAAAUUCUCUCCACCUAGGCAUACCCCCAUUCCCUGAUUGGUCAAUUCCUUUAAUACCGUCAAUUCCAUUAUUACCGUCAAUUCCAUCCUCGUAGGCCUCAGAAACAAAAAGUUAACCGAGUCGCAUUUCUCGCAGGCCUUGGAGACAUCAAGUCAACCUGAGCCGCAUUCCUCGCAGGUCUCAGAAGACCAUUAGUCAACCUGAGCCGCAAUCCUCGCAGGUCUUAAGGGACCAUUAGUAAGCUUGAUAAGCAAUCCUCACAGGUCUUAGGGGACCAUUAGUCAGCCUAAGUCGCAAUCCUCCCAGGUCUCGAAGACAUCAAGUCAACCGAGCCGCA
rnacentral:lncRNA from 1 species